GAGGAAUAUUGGACAAUGGGCGGUAGCCUGAUCCAGCCAUGCCGCGUGCAGGAAGAAUGUCCUAUGGACUGUAAACUGCUUUUGUACGGGAAGAACCGGGGGCACGUGUGCCCCCCUGACGGUACCGUAAGAAUAAGGAUCGGCUAACUCCGUGCCAGCAGCCGCGGUAAUACGGAGGAUCCGAGCGUUAUCCGGAAUCAUUGGGUUUAAAGGGUCCGUAGGCGGGCCGUUAAGUCAGGGGUGAAAGUCUGCGGCUCAACCGUAGAAUUGCCCUUGAUACUGAUGGCCUUGAGUUAUGGUGAAGCAGCCAGAAUAUGUGGUGUAGCGGUGAAAUGCAUAGAUAUCACAUGGAAUACCGAUUGCGAAGGCAGGCUGCUAACCAUAUACUGACGCUGAUGGACGAAAGCGUGGGUAGCGAAC
rnacentral:rRNA from 1 species